rnacentral:rRNA from 1 species
GACGAACGCUGGCGGCGUGCUUAACACAUGCAAGUCGAACGGAAAGGCCCUGCUUUUGUGGGGUGCUCGAGUGGCGAACGGGUGAGUAACACGUGAGUAACCUGCCCUUGACUUUGGGAUAACUUCAGGAAACUGGGGCUAAUACCGGAUAGGAGCUCCUGCUGCAUGGUGGGGGUUGGAAAGUUUCGGCGGUUGGGGAUGGACUCGCGGCUUAUCAGCUUGUUGGUGGGGUAGUGGCUUACCAAGGCUUUGACGGGUAGCCGGCCUGAGAGGGUGACCGGCCAAAUUGGGACUGAGAUACGGGCCAGACUCCUUCGGGAGGCAGCAGUGGGGAAUAUUGCACAAUGGGCGGAAGCCUGAUGCAGCAACGCCGCGUGCGGGAUGACGGCCUUCGGGUUGUAAACCGCUUUCGCCUGUGACGAAGCGUGAGUGACGGUAAUGGGUAAAGAAGCACCGGCUAACUACGUG